GGAAGUGACUAGGCUACUGGUGGGCCUCCUGGACUUCAAAUCCAGUGGCGGGUAUAGGAUGCCCGCGGUGGGUUCGAUUCCCAUUCACUUCC
rnacentral:tRNA from 1 species